rnacentral:rRNA from 1 species
UACGUAGGGUGCAAGCGUUAAUCGGAAUUACUGGGCGUAAAGCGUGCACAGGCGGUUAUGUAAGACAGAUGUGAAAUGCCCGGGCUUAACCUGGGAACUGCAUUUGUGACUGCACGGCUGGAGUGUGGCAGGGGGGGAUGGAAUUCCGCGUGUAGCAGUGAAAUGCGUAGAUAUGCGGAGGAACACCGAUGGCGAAGGCAAUCCCCUGGGCCUGCACUGACGCUCAGGCACGAAAGCGUGGGGAGCAAACAGG